UGGAACUAAGAGCUUGUGCAUUACAGCCAUUAUUCUGUUUGUGUAUGAGCUGGUUAUUUUUUAAUAUAUAUUUUUUUAAAAGCAGACAAAAAUAUAGAAAAAGUAUGUCUGAAAAUGUUUUGUUACAUAAAACUUUUGCUGAAUGCAUAAUCAUGCAUUCACUUAUUUCACUUAACUUUGUCCCUUGGGUUGGAAGUGCCACUAAUGAUUUGUCUGAUGGUUGGUUUGUAGUGAGUCUGUUCUUCAUGAAACCUUCCUUAACAUUCAAAUAUCUGUUUGUCUUUUGUCGGUCUUUUUUUCUUUCACUUAGGAUAUCAUGUUUCCAGCUCCAUGGUUGUGGAGGAGGCAAGAUGGGAAAGUCGUCACCUUCUACAGGAAGACAACCACUCCAAGCUGUACUCUGAGCCUGAGAAGAACUGCACUGAACCAGAGGGAGUGUUCGCCCAGGGCACCAAACAGGCUAGGACCGCCACUGAUGCUACAAUUCAGCACAGGAGGGAGGGGGUUAGUGAGUCCUGAGCAGUGUUGGCUUAAAUGGGGAAGUCACACUCUCUGCAGACUCCUAAAUGGGGAAGUUACACAGGAAGCCUGCAGUUCUAUUUUCUCUCUUCCUGUAUGUGCUCUCUGAAUAAAGACUCUUUCUUUUUACUGCAGGGUGCGAGUCUCCCUCAGGCUCACCCGUGUACACGUUAACCUGUGUGAGCGUCUUUAUUCUGACCUGAGUUGCAAUACAGGAAAACUCCUGACAUUUCUUUUUUCUUUUUUUCUUUUUUUUUAACGUGUACGUAUGUAUGCUACCAACCCCUCUGGGCGAGCCGAGCCUAGAUGUUUUACGUGUCUGAGUGUUAAUAUUCACCUGGUUGCUGAUUCACUGCCGGUCUCUCAGGUCUGCCUCAUCGACCCCCACCGCCGUGGACCACUUAUAAGAACGCUGGCCAGAACCCGAAUUCACGUCUCUGGACUUUAUCCUGUACCUGGACAGGAGCUGUCGACAGACUUCAGCGUGGGCUUCUCACGACGGCAGGACUCGAUGAGGCUUUCCUGUGGGGUCACACAAAAGUGCUGUGUCCCAUCCGGCUCGAAGGACCAAGAAAUGUCAGGAGUUUUCCUGUAUUGCAACUCAGGUCAGAAUAAAGACGCUCAGACAGGAAAACUCCUGACAGUUACAUUACUAGUUACUUCUAUCAAAAGUAACUCAGUUACUUCAAGUUACUCGUUACUUUCAGAGUAACUAGUUACUAGGGAAAGUAACUUUGGUUUUAUUCAGAAUUCUCUUGUUAAUGUGUUGCUUCCGUAACUGGAUACCCAGCAAGAGUGCCAGUCUUCUAGCUUGC
ensembl:lncRNA